AUGAUUGAGGAAGAAUUUGCUACGCCAAAAAAGAAAGCCAGCAUUCUUCUAUUUUGCUGGUCUUUUAAACCAAGAUGCGACGAGAAAUUGAAGCCUAAAGUGGGGAGGUCAUUUGAAGGGCUUGAGACCGUGGAGGAGUUAUACAAGUCAUAUAGGCAUCAUGUGUGUUUUGGAGCUCGUGUUGGACAGCAGAAAAAGUUGAACAAUGUGGUGGUUAGGAGAAAGCCAGAUGAUGUUCCGUCCCUUAGUCUGUUAAUAUACAUGAAUUUAAACGAGUUAUUAAUGUCGAUUUCUUUGAUGUACUGGAUUCUCGUAAUGGUUGGAAUUAUGUGUUUUGUCAAACUGUCUUCCUCUUAUUUUCUCUGA
rnacentral:rRNA from 1 species